rnacentral:misc_RNA from 1 species
GAUGAAGAACGCAGCGAAAUGCGACAAGUAAUGUGAAUUGCAGAAUUCCGUGAAUCAUCGAAUCUUUGAACGCACAUUGCGCCCGGUAGUAUUCUGCCGGGCAUGCCUGUUCGAGCGUCAUUUCAACCAUCAAGCCCCAGCGCUUGUGUUGGGGGCCUGCGGCUGCCGCAGCCCCCUAAAAGCAGUGGCGGGCUCGCUAUCACACCGAGUGCAGUAGUUCAUCUUCUCUCCGGUCUUGUGAGGCGGGUUCCGGCCGUGAAACACCCCACUACAUUCAAGGUUGACCUCGGAUCAGGUAGGAAUACCCGCUGAACUUAAGCAUAUCAAUAAGCGGAGGA